rnacentral:rRNA from 1 species
CAUUCGUAGUCAUCUACUCCCCUGUGAAUUACGCUGAGCGUUAUAAACGAGAGAUUUGUAAACAAUCCGCGAUUAAAUUGGAACGAUUUAUUCAAAAGUUGAACACGAAAGCGUGGUAAAUCUGAUGAUGCCUUUUCCAGAAUGCUUCUUUGGGUAAAGGAAUAAAGAGUAAAAAUAUGUGAGGAUAGUGGUACCUACAAGCUAGAGGUGAAAUUCAUAGAUUUUGUAGAGACAUGCUGCUGCGCAGGCUUCUGUCUAACAUAUGUUUGGUGAUCAAGAAUUAAAGUGUGGGGAUCGAAGAGGAUUAGAUACCCUCGUAGUCCACACCCUAAACGAUGUCGACUAGUGGUCGGUCUUAGCUAUGAAGCUUUAGCGGAACCUUGGCGGAUAUGAAAGUCUUCGGACUCUGGGGGAAGUAUGGUCGCAAGGGCGAAACUUAAAGGAAUUGACGGAACGGCACCACCAGGGGUGGAGCGUGCGGCUUAAUUUGACUCAACGCGGGAAACCUUACUAGGGUAAGACAUUGUUAUGAUUGACAGAUUGCAUGGUCUUUCUUGAUUCAGUGGGUGGUGGUGCAUGGCCGAUCUUAGUU